GACUCUGAAUAACCGAAGCGGAGCGCAUGGUCUCGUACCGGCGCCAGAUCUUUCAAGUGUCUGACUUAUCAGCUUGUUGUUAGGUUAUGUUCCUAACAAGGCUUCAACGGGUAACGGGGUAUCAGGGUCCGAUACCGGAGAGGGAGCCUGAGAAACGGCUACCACAUCCAAGGAAGGCAGCAGGCGCGCAAAUUACCCACUCCUAGCACAGGGAGGUAGUGACGAAAAAUAACGAUGCGAGGGCUUAUAGCUUCUCGUAAUCGGAAUGGGUACACUUUAAAUCCUUUAACGAGGAUCUAUUGGAGGGCAAGUCUGGUGCCAGCAGCCGCGGUAAUUCCAGCUCCAAUAGCGUAUAUUAAAGUUGCUGCGGUUAAAAAGCUCGUAGUUGGAUCUGGGCUUCUGAAUGGAUGGUGCGCUUUUCGGUGCUACUGUCCGUUUGGUGCCACAAGCCGGCCAUGUAGUGCAUGCCCUUCAUUGGGUGUGCAUUGCGACCGGAACGUUUACUUUGAAAAAAUUAGAGUGCUCAAAGCAGGCGUACGGCCUUGCAUAAUGGUGCAUGGAAUAAUGGAAUAGGACCUCGGUUCUAUUUUGUUGGUUUUCGGAACUCGAGGUAAUGAUUAAUAGGAACAGACGGGGGCAUUCGUAUUGCGGCGUUYCCC
rnacentral:rRNA from 1 species